GGCGAAUCAGCAGCCACUUCCCGCGGAUGGGAUCAACUACAUUUCCCAGAAUGCCCGGCGGCAAUAUGGGAUACCGGUGGGAAUGUAUGAUGUAGUUCUCCAUAUCAAAGGGUGUAUAGAUAAAGACACAUAUUGACUUAAAGCAUCUAAUGAGAUGCUUCUCUGUGAGGAUGAAAUGACAGCAACGGGUCCACAAAGCUGAGUGACCGAAAUAUUCUCACAUACCUAAAGUAGC